rnacentral:rRNA from 1 species
CACGUAGGGUGCGAGCGUUGUCCGGAAUUAUUGGGCGUAAAGAGCUCGUAGGCGGUGUGUCGCGUCGGCCGUGAAAACCUGCAGCUUAACUGUGGGCUUGCGGUCGAUACGGGCAUCACUGGAGUUCCGCAGGGGAGACUGGAAUUCCUGGUGUAGCGGUGAAAUGCGCAGAUAUCAGGAGGAACACCGGUGGCGAAGGCGGGUCUCUGGGCCGAUACUGACGCUGAGGAGCGAAAGCGUGGGGAGCGAACAGG